CAGCAGCCGCGGUAAUACGGAGGGUGCAAGCGUUAAUCGGAAUUACUGGGCGUAAAGCGCACGCAGGCGGUCUGACAAGUCAGAUGUGAAAUCCCCGGGCUUAACCUGGGAACUGCAUUUGAAACUGUCAGGCUGGAGUCUUGUAGAGGGGGGUGGAAUUCCAGGUGUAGCGGUGAAAUGCGUAGAGAUCUGGAGGAAUACCGGUGGCGAAGGCGGCCCCCUGGACAAAGACUGACGCUCAGGUGCGAAAGCGUGGGGAGCAAACAGGAUUAGAUACCCGCGUAGUCCCUGUCUCUUAUAC
rnacentral:rRNA from 1 species